ACUAUAUCCAAACCAAGGCAUCUCAUAAUUUGGGUCUCAUUUGUAGAAUAGAUGCCCUUGGUUGGGUUUAGAUCAAAAAUCUCAAUAUAUUAGUUGACCAGAUUCCAGUUGAUAGUUUAGGUCAAAGAUCUUCUAUAAUUCAAAAUUCAAACUUUGAAUUAUAGAAGAAGAUAUAUUGAGAAGUCUGGCCUGCUACAGGCACUAAAUUGGAAUCACCACCUAUGGUUUAGAAGAGAAAUGAUUAUCCAGGAAUCCCAGAGAUAUAAGCAAGGCAAUAAGUAAGGACUAUUUCAUGAAGAUCUUUAAGGCUAUUUUUGGAUUCCUAAGCCAUCUUUACCUAAUUCUUUAAAAAAAGCCCAAAAGAAAUCUGUAAGUAUAAAGAAAAUACAAAAAAAAGAGAGAGAACGAGGGAAAAGAAAGAAGAGGUGAAGAGACUGGAAUAUUAUAUGCUCCUUCCCGCUUCCUCCACUCUCUGCUUGGUAUUGGGUCUCCACUUAAUGGAGACAACCUCUUCUUGUUGGAGGUUUGAUAAUUAUAAGAGGUGGAUCAAGGCCUUCUUUUGAUUUUGGCAUGGUUUUUCUCAAGUUCUCUUGUUCUCCUAUUUCUUAUCUAGUGAGAAAACACUUGUAGAUGGGGAAGGAUAAAAUUGAUGGUCAUGAUAAGAGGUUAUAAAUCUUUCUUUGGAUUAAAAGAUUGAGAAUGGAUGAUGAAUGGAGUGAUUUGAUUGGUAAAGAGAGGAGAUGAUAAGUGUCCUCAAAAGGGUAUCUAUGUCAUUUGAUAGGAUUUGAAUGAGGAGAGUCUUUGGUUAAAGUUUGAGGUGAAAUGGAUGCGUCGAAAAGGAAAUAUGAUGACUUGAGAGCAUUAUUCAACAAUAAUGGUGCAUAUGUACACAUGUAGUUGUAAAUUUAGACAAGUCUAAAAUCAACAUACAUGGAUAGGGAAUUCUUCUUCAUGACCAGGGGUGUAGUUUAAAAGCUGUCAGAGAAUGGUUCACGUUAGGUUAUGAGUGAGAUCAAAAAAAAGUCUAGAGACUUAUUUAGGGAAAAUAAGAAAAAAAAUAAAUAGGUGAAAGAUAGAAGGAAUAAUUAGACGAAACUAAGGUAUGGAA
rnacentral:lncRNA from 1 species